CUUGAGUACAACAUGAAAGGAGAAGAGGAAGAGGCUUUUUCUGUAGCAUAUAGCAGAAGAUUUCACAUUUCCUAGAUUAAAAUGAAUGAAUUUCUUCAAUUUCAGAGCAUCUUUUUCUUCACCCUGUUUCAACACUGCAGGCAGGUGAUUUCAACCCAGCUAAGCUCCUUGGUGCAGAAAUGGUUAAAGGAAGACUGACACAGUUCCGUCUAUGACAUCACUUCUUGGGUCUGUCCACCUGGGCCUGCCUCUUUCUCCCAGAAUGCCUCAUAAGUCAAGGAAACCCAUUUUCUUCAGUCUGCCUGAAUUUAUGACAGAAUGAUUAAACUUUUGUGUUAUUAACAUGUGUUUAUAUUCAUUUCUCAUCUUGUUUAAUUAUAUGGGUUUGGCUACAAAGUGCACCAAAAUAC